GGCUGGCGCUCUUAGCUGCUAUGUGCAAGACGUGUGUCCCAGGGAAAGCCCCUCUCUCUCUGCAGAGGUCAAGUGAAAGCCACGGCCGCAGCCAACAGAGUUCAAAAUGCAGGCUUGGAAAGUCCAGGGGGCUCUGUGGAGGUGAGACAGCCACAGGCUGAGCUUUCUGAGCCCUUGGGGUGAGUUUGGCUGUGAUACCUGAGAGAUGGGGGAACUAACAAGCGCCGGGUUGCAGUGUCGUCCCAUGCAGAGGAGCGAGCAGAGUUCACCCAAAAGGCCAACGGCUGGCAGGGUGUCACGUUUCCCACCACACCCGGGGCUCAGCCUCUGCUGUCAUUUCUCCUCCUUGGUUUUCAUCUUCUAAGGGAAGAAAUAGUGUCAUCUUUUCUCAACCUGUCAGUCUCACACCUGCCUGGAGCCCCUGGCAGUGAGACACCCAGUGCUGUUUAAUCUGAUGUCAUCUCUGUUGAUUGUCUGUUUUAGAAACCAGGUAGCAAGAGGGACUUUCUGAGGAUUAAAAAAAAAAAAGUAAAUCCCCAAACUAUUUCGGGGAGGUUUUUUUUUUUUUAACCUCCUGUUUUUUAGUUUCAUUAUUUCUUUUUCUCUUACAUACACUCUUUUUUAAUUAAGAAAAAUUAAUUUUUUAAAUUAAAAAAGACCAAAUGCACCCCUUGGGUUGAGGAGUUAUGAGAGCAAUGUUUAGGGUAAAGGUCAAAGGUGAGAUGGAUGUCACUGGGUCUUGGGCAUGGGUACCCACCUGCUGGCAAACAUAAGAGAGGCCAUACGAGAGUGGGGAAAGAAGGGUUACUGAAAAAUGCAUAUGAGCUUGUUUUCUCUAAUGAUGUUUAUUUGUUGUCUAUCAGGAGAUUAGUCCUGAGAGACUGACACCAGAGCCACCUGACGAAUGUGGGUGCUCAGAGCCUUGGACUCGAUGACCUACCUCUCCUGCCUCCCACCUGACUCCUGAAGUAGGGGAGUGUAUUAACAGUCACAGGCCUCAGUUUACCUGCUUUCAGCCUCUGCCCUUCCCGAGAGGGUUGAAGCUGACUUGCUGCAUCGCAGUUUUGUCCUUUAGUUCAUCAGCUCUGGAACUUUCCACUUCUGGUGUUUUUGGUUUCCAAACAGAGGAUUGAGGACGUAUGAGAGCAAUGUUUAGAGUAAGGUCAAAGAUGAGGUGGAUCUAACUGGGCCUUGGGCAUGGGCGCCUACCUGUCAGACUCUGUCCUUCUCAGACAGCUGCCCAGGCAGGAGCUGCCUCUUGGGACAGUGAGUGGGCCAUCUCCAUUGAGAGAGUAGGGGGACAAAGGGAAAAGGCAGGGACUGGGUCACUCCUGGGGAUGCUGUUUGACAUAGACCAUGAGGGUCAGCCCCACUGGGCCUGGCUGACCUGGUAGAUGGGUAGGUCUAGGGUAUGAACAUGGAUAUUAGUUGGCCAGGGUGUGAGAACUUGUGUGAAAGGGUCGGCCCCUGGGUGACUCAGUCUCCUAGCAAACUAUAAAAGGGAAGUGACUCAUUUCCAGCCCUGAACAAGAACUCCUAAGGCUAGGCCGCCAGCACCUGUCUGGGACGUGGUUAGUUAUUAACGCUGCCAGUAAGAGUGUCAUGGGAACCAAACGCAGGCCUAGAUGCCUGGAGGCAACUUGGCUUUUCACAGCUUGCAACUGUCCACUCACCUUCCCUUGCUGUGGCUCCUCUCUGCCUGACCCCAAAUGCAGAGGAGCCCCUUGAACUCUUAGUUGCUGGUGGCUCCCCAGGUGCCACCUCCUGAGUCCUGGUUCCUGCGGCUCCGUCGAAUCUGCAGUGAAGGCCUUUGGGAAGCGUGGGUUAUGUGGGUCCAGGGGUCCCAUCCUCCCGUGGAGGCCCUUGACCUGAGGAUCACUAACUCACACCCCACCGACUUCCGGCCCCCAACAAGGGCAGUGUUCCUCUUGCUCCAUUCUGCUCUGAAGUCCCCCAAACCGCUUCCUGGGGCUGCUUAGUGAAAUACAAGGCUCAUCUCUGAGGACCUCUACAGGGCUGGAUGGGAAGGACUGAUCCACAUUCCCACCAGGAAGUUUAGCAGAACCCCCGCGUGCCACCUGGACCCCUUGGAAGGACCUGGCUCAGGCUGGACCACCUCUUGAGAGGCAGGAGCUCUGGAUUUGAUCAAGAAUUCUUUGCUGAGCAUGGUGCCUCAUGCCUAUAAUCCCAACACUUUGGGAGGCCAGUGUGGGAGGAUCUCUUGAGCCCAGGAGUUCAAGACUAGCCUGGGCAACACAGAGAGACCCCAUCUCUAAAAUAAUAAUAAUAAUAAAAUAAAAAAUUAGCAGGGCAUGGUGGCAUGUGCCUGUAGUCCCAGCUACCCAGGAGGCUGAGGCAAGAGGAUGGCUGGAGCCUGGGAUGUUGAGGCUGCAAUGAACUGUGAUUACCCCACUGCACUCCAGCCUGGGCAAAAGAGCGAGAGACCCUGUCUCAAAUAAUAAUAAUAAUAAUAAUCUUAUUUUGGAGAAUAAAGAGACCUCUGGAUUUGAGGUGCCAUUUGGGUAGAAAGAAAAGACGUUUACACCGAGAAAUAGUCUGUGUUGCCCUGAAGGAGCAGAGGGAUGCAUCGCUGGAGGUGACCUACAGUUGAAGAAGACUCAUUAUGACAGACCUUGUCCUUCUUCCUUGUGGAAAGUGUUUCCUCUGCUGCUACUGCUCAUGAGACUCUUCCCCCUCCCUGUCCCAGGGAACCAAAGGGCUUUCUACCACACCCUUUCUUGCCCCCCGCCUCCCAUGUCUGCUGUGCCUUUGUACUCAGCAAUUCUUGUUUGCUCCAUUAUCUUCCAGCCGGAUACAGAGUGAAUAGUUAACCACACUUAGGUCAAAUAGGAUCUAAAUUUUUGUUCCUGCUCCGUGUAAAGAGGCCAGUGUUUGUGUGUUGCAAGCAGCCUUGGAAUAGUAACUCUUCUCAUUUGUUUGGGAUCUGGCCACCAAGUUCCAGAAUGAUACACGGAUCAGUGCAGAAGUUCAUCAGGCUCUCGGACCUUAGGGCUGUUGGAGAAGGCUUCAGCAGCAGAACUGAUGGUGAAGGCUCGUGUUCUCCAUCCUCAACUUUCUUUGCUUCGAUCAUACACAAGAAUACAUUUGGAAGGGCAAAAAAUGAACACUGUCGUUCAUUGCAGCCGUGUUUUGUGACACAGAUGCACAGUCUGCUGUGAAGACCUUCUCUCAAGUGGCAUUUGGGAGUCCAUGCCAGAUCAUGGUGCUUCAUGAGAGACUGACAGCUAUCAGGGGUUGUGGCACUUAGUGAGGACUCUCCUCCCCCAGUGUGUGCUGAUGACACAUACACACCUGACAAUAGCUUGAGUCUUCUCUGUUCCUUUUACUCUGUAGCCAACAUACACAUGAUUUAAAACCCUUUCUAAAUAUCUAUCAUGGUUCAUCCUUGUCCAAAUGCAGAGUCAGAGCUAUUUGUACUUCAUUAUUAUUUCCAAGGCGAAUAGUUGGCUUUCUUUUUGCAAAAAUAAUUAAAGUUUUUGUAUGUUGCAGUUGCUGUGCUUGUAUGACCAUUUAGUGAAUUUGGUGUCUUCUAAAUAGAACAGUGGAGUCCUUGUGGACAUCUCAGAUUCAUCACAAAAUGAUUGAGGAGAACCUCUUGAAGAUGUUUAGAGCUAUUGAAAUUUACAGAUUGUUGAUGGGUUUUCACCUUUUCCUUCCUUUCUUGACACACAGUUACAGGCAUUGUAUUCCUUGGAUUCCUACAGGUGUCAAGGAACAGAGAUCCACUUACGUUACCUUCAUAAAUCCUGGUUUAUUCAAAAGUCACAGUAAGGUAGACAGGAAAUAGUCCCAGCCACUGCCUAGCUAAGCCUUUUCAAAAAGCCCAAGGUCAUUCAGCAGAUGCAGAAGCACUAGUUGGUUUUCAAAGAUAACAAGAGCAAUACCAUCAUGGUCGUUUUGAUCCUCUGUUCAGCAGCAGGGUUCGCUGCCCCUGACUUUAGAAUUCUGCCAUCGUGAUGAGCUGAAGGUCACCAACGGUCCCAGUUUGCCCAGGACUAAAGGGUUUCUUGGGAUGAAGGACAUUCAGUGCUAAACCUGGGACAGUCCUGGGCAAACUGGGAAAACUGGUCACCCUCCUGGGUGACUCAACGACCAUGCCUCUACUUUGUUACUUACUAUUAACUGACUGAUGCUGUUGACUGGUUUAGCCAAUCUGCAUUCAGAGCUUUUGCGUCUGGUUACUUCGUUGGCCUUCAGGCAGCCACAGAUGGAUGCUAUUGGAUCAGGCACCAAUGCUGACCAAAUCAAUUGUUUCCAGGAUGGUAGGGUUGUAUGAAGAACCAACUGAGACCAUGUCCUUCUGAGUGUUGUGGAUGGUGGGCAUGGCAGGCCUUCAAGGUAUCAGGGAUUCCUCUCCAAUACAGCCUUACUUACAAAGGAGAAACUAACUUUCUCAUGAAAAACAAAACAGUUCAUUAAGAAACAAAACUAACACAGCCACUGGGAACUGAGGAAGAGAGACUGUAACAUGUGUGCAAGCACACACACACACACACACAUGCAUACACAUGCUGUCUGUAGAAUCAUGAGCCAGGAUUCCAAAUCUGCAUCUUUGCUAGACAGAGAUCAAGAACUAAAACCUUUGGGAUGGUGUUGUCUGGGAAGCAAAGGAGUUGGCUAGAGGACUUCCUGAAAUUCCUUUAAACUCUAGAAUCCUUUAAAAUAUCAAGGGUGUGUAAACUGGGGCUAAGUAUGUACAUUCUCUCUAAAGGCUCCUAGAUAACCUUUGAGUUCAAUUCAGUGUGGAGUGGGGCCUCCCAGCUUAUACUUACCUUUCUAGACACUGACUUUUAUCUGGGAUGAGGGAGCAGAAUUUGGAGGUGGUAGUCAGGGCGGGGGUAGGGAGGGGAGUGGGUAAGGGAUAGUUGCACCAGCCCAACUUUUUUGGUCUUAAGAACAACCUGAACGCAAAUUACAGGGUCUUUUGUGGACUAGAAAAAGCCAGGUUUUCAGGAUCACGUGGCGUCCUGAAGUUGUUGCUGCUUGUCAGGGCAUCUGACCUCCAUCUUCUCUGCUGAAAGACAGGCAUGAGUGUUUGCAGUGCCGGAACAGGGGCCUUCAGAUAAUUUCAUUCAUCUGGCAUGGCAAGACCACAGGGAGGGAAUUACAUGCUAGGGUAGAGAUGAACUUAUGGACGUAUCAUGCACCUUGGUGUUUGCCCCUGUAGUGAUUCUCACUACCUUCGCUACCAUUGGAGGGAUGCUCACCCACCUCCUUGGGUGCCAUUUUUCUUUUUUAAAAGAUGAAGGCAUUUCAGAUGAUCCCUUCAUUUAUGUUCUACUUUCAUUCUUUGGUUUCAAAAGAAGUCCUGAUCUUAUGUCAAAGGCAACAAUCUCUUCUCUCAAUCUCUCUCUCUCUCUCACUCUCUCUCUCUGGCUCACUCUGUCACCCAGGUUGGAGUACAGUGGCAUGAUCUCAGCUCACUGCAGCCUCGACUUCCUGGGCUCAAGAAAUCCUCCUGUCUCUGCCUUCCGAGUAGCUGUGAUCACAGUUGUAUGCCAUCAUGCCCAG
rnacentral:lncRNA from 10 species